rnacentral:rRNA from 1 species
GGCUAGAGUUUGAUCAUGGCUCAGAGUGAACGCUGGCGGCGUGCCUAAUACAUGCAAGUCGAACGAUGAAGCUUUUAGCUUGCUAGAAGUGGAUUAGUGGCGCACGGGUGAGUAAUGCAUAGGUUAUGUGCCCUUUAGUCUGGGAUAGCCACUGGAAACGGUGAUUAAUACUAGAUACUCCCUACGGGGGAAAGUUUUUCGCUAAAGGAUCAGCCUAUGUCCUAUCAGCUUGUUGGUGAGGUAAUGGCUCACCAAGGCUAUGACGGGUAUCCGGCCUGAGAGGGUGAUCGGACACACUGGAACUGAGACACGGUCCAGACUCCUACGGGAGGCAGCAGUAGGGAAUAUUGCUCAAUGGGGGAAACCCUGAAGCAGCAACGCCGCGUGGAGGAUGAAGGUUUUCGGAUUGUAAACUCCUUUUGUUAGAGAAGAUAAUGACGGUAUCUAACGAAUAAGCACCGGCUAACUCCGUGCCAGCAGCCGCGGUAAUACGGAGGGUGCAAGCGUUACUCGGAAUCACUGGGCGUAAAGAGCGCGUAGGCGGGGUAGUAAGUCAGAUGUGAAAUCCUAUGGCUUAACCAUAGAACUGCACUUGAAACUACUACUCUAGAGUAUGGGAGAGGUAGGGUGGAAU